GGGAUAUCUGGAUUUUUAAAAAGAAGAAAGACGUAAAAAUUACGAAAAGUUAUAGGGAGUAUAAACUGUGAUCUAUAAAUUUCUGAUUGGAAAACUAACUUAAUAGAAGUUUAAAAAAACUUAAUGAAGUGAAACAUCUAAGUAAUUAAAGGAAAAAGAAAUCAAAAGAGAUUCCGUGAGUAGUGGCGAGCGAAAAUGGAGUAGGUUAUUUUUUUUUAUGAAAAAUAUUAUUAGAAUCAGUUUGUUACUGAACGAUACAGGGUGAAGGAGUCCCGUAUAAUAAUAAAAUAUAAAAAAAAUAAAGAGUAGGGCAAGACAUGUGUAAUCUUGCUUAAAUAUAGGGGAACCACCCUCUAAACCUAAAUAUGUUUAAAAAUCGAUAGUGAACAAGUACCGUGAGGGAAAGGUGAAA
rnacentral:rRNA from 1 species